CUGCUGAAUUAGUGAUCGGAAGCGGGUCAUUUAAAACUUAAGGAGUUAUUAUGUCACUAACUGUUGAGCAAAAAGCAGAAAUCGUAAAAGAAUUUGGUCAGGGCG
rnacentral:ncRNA from 1 species